GAAAUGCGAUAAGUAGUGUGAAUUGCAGAAUUUAGCGAAUCAUCGAAUCUUUGAACGCACAUUGCGCCCCUUGGUAUUCCAUGGGGCAUGCCUGUUCGAGCGUCAUUUCAACCCUCAAGCACUGCUUGGUGUUGGGCGUUUAUCCCGCCUACGCGCGUGGACUCGCCUCAAAGUCAUUGGCGGCUGUUCCCCUUCGGCUCGUAAGCGCAGCACAGUCGGCGCCCGGAGCUCUGGUGGGAUGGCGUCCAGCAAGCUAUAUUUUCAGGCUUGACCUCGGAUCAGGUAGGGAUACCCGCUGAACUUAAGC
rnacentral:misc_RNA from 1 species